rnacentral:rRNA from 1 species
AUACGGAGGGUGCAAGCGUUACUCGGAAUCACUGGGCGUAAAGCGCGCGCAGGCGGUCUUUUAAGUUGGAUGUGAAAGCCUACGGCUCAACCGUAGAACUGCAUCCAAAACUAUUAGACUAGAGUGUGGGAGAGGAAGAUGGAAUUAGUUGUGUAGGGGUAAAAUCCGUAGAGAUAACUAGGAAUACCAAAAGCGAAGGCAAUCUUCUGGAACACUACUGACGCUGAGGCGCGAGAGCGUGGGGAGCAAACAGGAUUAGAAACCCUAGUAGUCC